rnacentral:lncRNA from 1 species
CCCAAUCAAGAAAACUCCCCCCCACUCCCUCCGCCACUCUCUCAUCCGCCACUCAUAAUGGCUGUUUCCGCCUCAGCAACCACUUUCACCUCCACAAACCUCAUCUACCCCCACCACACAACCACCACAUCCUCUACCUCCACCCCUACUUUCUCCCUCAAACCCACCUCCAAACUCCCCUCAAAAUCCAUCCUUUCCUCUUCUUUCCUCUCCCCCUUCACUCCCACUUCCCCAACCUCCCCCUUCACCACCACCCGCCACCGCACCUUCACUGUCCGUGCCGCGAGAGGGAAGUUCGAAAGAAAGAAACCCCAUGUCAACAUAGGCACCAUAGGC